GACGAACCUUGCUAACGUUAUUCGGAAUUACUGGGCUUAAAGGGUGCGUAGGCGGUGCAGAAAGUUGGGUGUGAAAUCCCUCGGCUCAACCGGGGAACUGCGUGUGAUACUGGCGGGCUUGAAUUCGGGAGAGGGAUGUGGAAUUCCAGGUGUAGCGGUGAAAUGCGUAGAUAUCUGGAGGAACACCGGUGGCGAAGGCGGCAUCCUGGACCGAGAUUGACGCUGAGGCGCGAAAGCUAGGGGAGCAAACGGG
rnacentral:rRNA from 1 species